rnacentral:rRNA from 2 species
GUUAAGCGACUAAGCGUACACGGUGGAUGCCCUGGCAGUCAGAGGCGAUGAAGGACGUGCUAAUCUGCGAUAAGCGUCGGUAAGGUGAUAUGAACCGUUAUAACCGGCGAUUUCCGAAUGGGGAAACCCAGUGUGAUUCGUCACACUAUCAUUAACUGAAUCCAUAGGUUAAUGAGGCGAACCGGGGGAACUGAAACAUCUAAGUACCCCGAGGAAAAGAAAUCAACCGAGAUUCCCCCAGUAGCGGCGAGCGAACGGGGAGCAGCCCAGAGCCUGAAUCAGUGUGUGUGUUAGUGGAAGCGUCUGGAAAGGCGCGCGAUACAGGGUGACAGCCCCGUACACAAAAAUGCACAUGCUGUGAGCUCGAUGAGUAGGGCGGGACACGUGGUAUCCUGUCUGAAUAUGGGGGGACCAUCCUCCAAGGCUAAAUACUCCUGACUGACCGAUAGUGAACCAGUACCGUGAGGGAAAGGCGAAAAGAACCCCGGCGAGGGGAGUGAAAAAGAACCUGAAACCGUGUACGUACAAGCAGUGGGAGCACGCUUAGG